AAAAUGGCUGGUGCUUGUCUUCACGUUCAGGGACAGUAAGGAAAGGAGGAGGAAUCAAGACUGGGACACAGUCUUCAGACAACAUUGGUAAGAUGGGGUGCAGUGCCCACAGGAGGGGAAACAGGUGAGCCCCUGCAGCACAGAAGAAAGGAGGGCAGAUCCAACCGGGAUAAGCCUGUAUGUCAAGUUGGUGGAGGCUCUUUGUGCUGAACACCAAAUCAACCUAAUUAAGAUUGAUGGGUUGGCUGAGAAAUGGCCAUCAGCACCCAGACCUGUGUCGGCGGCCCUCCCUGCUAGGCGGGUGAGCUCCAGUGAGUGGGCAGCCGCUCCUCUCCGGAACUUCAGCAACUGCAGGCCCUGUUGGUCACCCACCCGCAUUCCCUGAGCCCUUUCCUGCUGACUCACUGCAGUCCCGCCACAGCCCAGCUGGGGCCGGAUGGGGGGAGAGGAGGCCACCUCAGGACCCAGGAAUGCUCUGCUGCCCGGCGCUGAAGGGGGCCAACUAACUCCGGAGUUUCUGCUGCUCUGGGGAGUGAUGACCAGGAACUGGACUGUCUGAAGACCCGAGUGGACCCCUCUGUCCCUGACUUAGUCACAGCCAGGCUCUUGUGUAUCCCCGUUUCUGAGAACAAGGCUUCCCCAGCCCCUUACCCCCGCCGCUUGUGUUAAAGCCCAGUUCACAGCGGCCCCACAGUUGUACGUUCCAUGUGGCCUGUGACCGUCCGUGGUCCUGUGGGAUUGCCUAUGACCAUGUGUCCUCAUGCGCCAGUGAGUGGGGUUGAAUGUACAGAAGUUGUGCAGAGGGGUGUGAGUCUGCGUGUGACUGCGUGGGCUUCAGAAUCCCCUUGUGUACCCCGUGUGUACCCCGUGUGUGUCCAGCCGCACGGGAUGAGUGCAGAUGAGUGGGUGGGGGUGCGGGCACGCAGUUAAGGCUCACUGUGCAGCGUGUGUGAUCCCGACGGGCUGUAUGUCACGGCUUGCGGAUGCAUGAUGGCCUGCGGUUACGUGUGAUUCCCCGUGGUUGCGUCCUGCUGAGUGUCAUAGCGCGCGAUGGAUGGGGUGGCCUGCAUAGGAUUCUUCAGGACCAUGUGUGGGUUCCGCGGCACAGGCCCGGGGGGGCAGGGGUCUGCAGCUCCAAAUCCACAGCCAGUAACAGAUAGGGGUGUGUGUGUGUGUGUGUAUCCGUUGUGCACUUUCUACUUUUCUAGCUUCGAAGCACCUUUUCUAGCUUCGAUCCCUGAGGAGCCCGUAGAGGCUCCCACUUAUGAAAGGAAGUGGAACUAGGCUGCAGAAUGCUCUUCCCCUGGGUCACUGACUGGUUUAGAGUGGUUUCUUGGAAGUCAGGCUGGGCUUCAGGGCAAUGCCAGCCCAUUGGAAGUCUCACAGCAGCCGGCUCCCCGCGCUGACAAAGUGUCCGCCCAGCCCUGGCGGGGGGCCCGGCUGCCUCCUGCCCCUGCAGGGACGCAGCCAGCUUCUCUCAGCCCUGGCCAUCUGCUCUCACCCUCCCCAUACCUAAUCCUGGGGCAGAAGGAAGCCAGGCAUCCAGCUCCCCUUCUCUUCCCAGCCUGAAGACAAGCGCCUGCCUUUUAAGGGGUUUACCACUGACAGUUUCAGGAAAAGCACAAUUAGAUUUGGGCAACAGCUGUUCAGAUGUGCGAGCCUCCAACAGACUCCGUGUCUGCUGGGAAGGAAUCUCUGUGCUCGGGGUCUGGAUCAUCCGCCAUGGCUGGUGUGGGCUGGGCUGAGGGUGAGUGACGUGGUACAAUCCAGCAGAAGGAGCACCCGGAGGGGAGAAAGUGCUGGAAGCAGGGGAAGCAGAGGGAAAGAAGAAACGAGGAGCUGGAGAGCCAGAAUGUCCUGAAUGGAGACUUGGGGUGGGGCCAGGAAAAGUGUGUGUGUGUGUGUCCCCUCCCCCAGCACCAGCAGGCCCACAGACCUGGGUGCAAAAGGUGUUGUAGAGAGAAAACUUGGGACUAGCAGCUCAGGAUACCUAAGUUCUGUCCUAACUGCCACCCAGCCUCUGUGUGACCAGGGAAAGCCCCUUUCCCUCUCUGGGCUUUCGUUCAUCCACCUUGAAGACAGACAACAAAGGAAAAUGUGAAGGAUGGGGCCAGAGGCAUGAGUCAGUGCUCAACAAACAUGACUCCUCAUCUAGUAACCUAAGGACAGCCGUCGACCCCUUCCCAGGGGUUGAGACCCUUCCCCAGCCCAGACAGUCCAUUUCUGAAAGAAUCCAUCUUUUCUUCCCUCAUCAGCACGGGCAGGGCCCUCCACACCCAGAUCCCACGAGGACCCUGCUCAGAGCUGGGGGUGAAGGUAGGGGUUUGAACAGUAAGAAGGGAAGAAAGCUGGGGGUGGAGGGAGGUGGGCAGACAUGGCGACGAGGGCCGCAGGGCUUCCCGUAGCAGAGCUUGACAUUGGUACCUGCCAAGACUCUUCCUGCUCCUCCCCGACUUGCCCAUCCAACCUGCACCUGUUCCCUCCCUCCCCGCCAACCAGCACACAUUCCUUAGGCCUAUAACUCUGGACUCAAGUCAUUCUGGUUGGUGCUAUGGCUCAACAUUCAUGGAGUUUCCAAGCUAAAUUCAACAUCCUAGACCCACCAGAGGCAAGAAAAUUUAGUAAGAUACAGGCCUUAUCUGUCAAGAACGUUUAAUGACAAUUGCAAGAACACCUAUUUGAUCACACUAGAUAAUACCACGUGGCAAAUUCAACUGCCUUCAAGAUCUAGACAGAUGGGGCGCCUGGGUGGCUCAGUUGGUUAAGCGACUGCCUUCGGCUCAGGUCAUGAUCCUGGAGUCCCAGGAUUGAGUCCCGCAUCAGGCUCCCUGCUCGGCAGGGAGCCUGCUUCUCCCUCUGACCCUCCCCCCUCUCAUGUGCUCUCUCUCUCUCAUUCUCUCUGUCUUAAAUAAAUAAAUAAAAUCUUUAAAAAAAAAAAAAGAUCUAGACAGAUGAUGUAGGUGGCUGAAGCAGCCUGGUGGAAGGCAGUAGGGCAUGGUGGGGCCUGGGGACCUAUUUCAAAGUGGGCCAAAGAAAAGAUAGCUGCUGCUAACCACCUUUGGUGACAUGUCUGAGUUCUUACUAAGUGCCAGGCACUGUGUGAAGAGCUCUCAUACGUUAUUUUCCUUAGUUCUCUUAAGAAUUCUAUGAGAGGGACGGGGUUGCUUAGUCAGUUAAGCAUCUGCCCUCGGCUCAGGUCAUGAUCCCAGGGUCCUGGAAUCGAGUCCCACGUUGGGCUCCCUGCUUAGCGGGGAGCCUGCUUCUCCCUCUGCUGCUCCCCCCUGCUUAUGCUCUCUCUCUCUGACAAAUAAAUAAAAUCUUAAAAAAGAGAGAGAGAGAGAGAGUUAAAAAAGAGAAAAGAAUUCUAUGACAGAGGGAUUAGCAUUGUAGGAGACAGAGUCUAAAGUGACCGGCAUGAUCCCUGUAUCCUCAUGUUCAUGCUUUUGUGUAAUCCCCUCCCCUUGAGAGUGGGCAGGACCUGUGACUUGUUUCUAACCAAUAGAAUAACCAAGAUGCCAAUAUCUAACCAAUACUGGCAGAAGUGGUGGGGCAUCCCUCCCAUGAUUACCUGGCAUCACAAAAGACUCAGUCUUACUUGCAGAUUGGUAUAGAGACUUCCUCUCUUGCUGACAUUGAAGAAGCAAGCUGUCAAGUUGUGAGAGAGCCCAUGGAGAGGGCAUCCUGGCUGGGAACUAUGGGUGCCCUCUAGGAACUAGGGCAGCCUCCAGCCUGCAGCCGACAAAAGGAUUUCAGUCCCACCACCACCAGGAGAUGAAUUCUGUCAGCCACCUGUGUGAGCCUAGAAGUGGAUCCAUCCCCACUGGAGCAUCCAGAUGAAAGCGCAGUCCUGGCUGACACCCUGGCCUUGCGGAGGACCCGGGGAAGCUGUGCCCAGACUCCCGCCCCACAGACACCAUGGAUAACAAAUACGCAUUGUUUUAAGUUGCUAUGUUUAUAUAACUUAUUAUGAUGCAGUAGAAAAUGAAGUACUAUCCCCAUCUUCCCGAUGAGGACCUCAAGCUCUGAGACCGAUGAGAGUCAUGUGAUGAGUAGGAGCCACAGCAGGGGCCUGGACCAGUCCCCAGACUGCAGGCCUACGUUCUCUCCAGGACUCAGGUCUCUGGGUGGCCACCUAGAUAGGAGAGGAGUAACCUGCACAGCACUGAUUCAAUUACCCUAUCUUCGUUUCAGUUCAACAAUGUGUUGUACUCCUUCCGUGCGCCCAGCCCUGUGCCGGGCGCUGGGGGUACAGCAGUGAGCAGCGCAGACACGGGACCUGCUUUUGGGGAGUGGAAGGUGCAAUGAGGGUUGUGAACACUGACAAGGGAGAUCAGUGUGACGAGGAUUUCAAAACAAGGAGGAAUGGGAUGAACUGGGAACAUGUGCAGGGCAGCAGGCCUCGGCGAAGGCCAGGGAUGGUCUCCUUGAGGAAGUGGCAUGUCGGUCCCUUGGGGGUAGGCCUGGUGGGGAGUCAGCCCCUCGGCAUUGCAAGUGUGUGAGUGGGCGGGUGAGCGGGUAAGCUUUCCUGGUCACAGGUCCCCAGGGAAGAAGGCUCUCCCAGCAAUGUGAAAUCAUCCUGUUUCUGUGCACUGGCUUCCAAGACAUCUUGUCCCAAGGACCCAGGGCCUCUAUGACUAGGCCGUGACGCCCGUGAUGAUGGAGCACACUUCCAGGAUGCAUCAUGGGCGGAUGGGGCAAGGGCAGGGGUUGCUUA